AUUUUUUAUUUUAUUUUAUUUUUUAUCAAAUAUGGCCAUGAAGGGUAAAUAACAAUUAUAGCCAAUUUAGUGACCUGACCAUGAGAAUUAGCAAAAUAAUAUCUUUGUAUUUUUUAUGAUGUUGAUAAAUAUAAAAUAUUAAAUUUUCUACCAAAAAGAUAAAAAUUAAUUAUAUUGUAACGAUUGAUUAACUAAAAGAAAUAUUAAUUUUUUGGAAAAGAAAGAAUUUGAGAAAAGUAAAAUUUUAUAUUAUUAUUAGCAUUAAAAUGGAAAAAAUUUGUUUUUUGGCCAAUAUAUAGGCUUCGCGUUGUGCAUAUACAUUUCUAAAGUCCAACAUAAGAUUUGGCAAUAAUUGUUGCCAAUGUUAAAGUUCAUGGUCAAAAUUGAUAAAAUUGAACUCCUUGGCCAAAAUUGAGAAAGUGUGCAAAGGAUAUGUUUUUAUUUUUUUGGGUCAUUUGCCCUAUUUGAAAUUGAAAUCUUGUUGUUAUGGCUUGACUAGUGGACUUUAAAUUGGCGUUCUUUGGAGAUAGUUGUAUACUAGUUUGUUUGUAGUGGAUGAAUUUAUUGUCUGCCUUUUGAUGUUGGAGUUAAAUUGAAGGAAUUGUUUUUAUACUGCCCAUAAUUUUAACUGAAUAUUGUAUUUUUCCUUGUGUGCUUGGUCUGUCUUCAUGCAAUUUUUCCUCAAAAUUUGUCAUUUGUUGCAUUCCCUUUAUGUUUUUCUUAUUAAAUUUGUCUUUAUUUUUGCCCAUUUUUUGGAAACAUUUGCUUUCUAAGUUCAUUGCUGAUUUUUG
rnacentral:misc_RNA from 1 species